UGGAUUCUUAUGGGUUGAAGCUUUUAUGGGUAAUUUAGCUUGUUCUUCUGCAUUGUCACUUUGAGUUUUGGUGGUGUUUGUGUUUCAUUGAAAGUGGAUGGAGAGUCCAGAGUUUUUGGAGACGUCAAUCAAUAUGGAUGCNNNNUCAUGCAACAGUGGUACAGUGCAUCAUCGUGACACUGAUGAGGAGAAUGAGAAUCUGGGUGUGGACAUCCUUAAUGAUCUGGAGACAUAUUGGGAAGAUAUAAAGGAGCGGUUGGUUGUGUCAAGAAUGGUGAGUGAUUCAGUUGUCAAGGGUAUGAUAUGUGCUGUUGAACAGGAGGCAGCAGAAAAGAUUGCUCAGAAAGAAUCAGAGUUGGCUAAAUUAAAAGAGACGUUACAUCUUUACCAUGUGGGUGUAGAUGGAAAUGAAUCCAUGA
rnacentral:misc_RNA from 1 species